CAGAAUUUCUUUCUAGUCAAAACUUGCUCAGAAAUGAGCUUUAUAAGAGUUUGCUGAGAGGAAGGAUAAUGGGAAGAUGGCUGAAGGAUCAAAAGGAGAGAAAAAAGCAGAAAAUUAGGACUCAUAAUGCUCAGUUGCAUGCUGCAGUAUCCGUGGCAGGCGUAGCUGCUGCCGUUGCGGCCAUUGCAGCUUCAAUAGAGUGUACAUUGUAGAAUCAAUAGAGUGUACAUAGCUGUCAUAAAGUUCUACACUUACCAUAUGAGUGGUUUCUAGCUUAGCUUGCAUUGUUCAAGAAAUUUUAGAAAAUUCUAAGGAUGCUACUCUACUAAUAUUUCUGAGACAUGGAUGUAAUUUUCACUCCAUAUGGAUGUAUAACUGUAUAUUAUUGAAUAAGUAGAGUUAUAUGCAAAGAAAUAUUAUAUAGAUAAUCUAUUUUU